AUUUGAAGCAGAAGCAUUGGAAAGAGGUUGCUGAUAUUGUGAGCAGUAGAGAGGAUUAUACGAAAAUACCAAGGACUGAUAUUCAGUGCAAGAAUCGGAUUGAUACGGUCAAGAAGAAGUAUAAGACUGAGAAGGCUAAGAUUACUGCUGGUGGAGGCCCCAGUAAGUGGCCAUUUUAUGAUAGAUUGGAUCAAUUGAUCGGUCCGG
rnacentral:misc_RNA from 1 species